CACCGUGCUAGUUCAUACAUUUGAAAUGUGAGACUGCGGAAGGCUCAGUAAAUCAGUUAUAAUCUGCUCGAUUGUAUAGGUUAUUGGAUAACCGUGGGAAAUCUAGAGCUAAUACAUGUAAUUUUGGAGCGAUCUCGGUCGUUCCUGGCAUUUAUUAGACAAUUACCAAUCGUGGGGCAACCCAUGUGGUGAAUCUAGAUAACUUAGCAGAUCGUAUGGCCUCGAGCCGGCGACGUUUCGAUUGAAUUUCUGCCCUAUCAACUAUUGUCGGUAGUGUAGUGGACUACCGAGGUUAUUACGGGUGACGGGGGAUCAGGGUUCGAUUCCGGAGAGGGAGCCUGAGAAACGGCUACCACAUCCAAGGAAGGCAGCAGGCGCGCAAAUUACCCAAUCCAGACAAUGGGAGGUGGUGACGAAAAGUACCAGAUGACGAUCAAAGAUUGUCAAUUUGGAAUGGAAUCAAUUUAAGCAAUUGAUUGAGUAACGACUAGAGGGCAAGUCUGGUGCCAGCAGCCGCGGUAAUUCCAGCUCUAGUAGCGUAUCUCAAAGUUGCUGCGCUUAAAACGCUCGUAGUUGGAUCACAAACUAUAUGCCAGUUGGUGUGGUGCUGUAUCAAAGUUAAAAUUUUGCGAAAUGUCCACAUUUUGUAGAAUAUUUAUGUGGUGCAGUGCUACUACCGUAAGCUAGUGUAUAGUAAUUGCACGUGAGGAUAGACGUUAGCCUUGAAUGAGUAGACGUUUGUGUCUCACGGAGUGUGCCUUGAAUAAAUCAAAGUGCUUAAAGCAGGCUAUACGCUUGAAUGUUAAAGCAUGGAACGAACAAUCGUGUAGGGUGCAUGUUGACCAAUGGAUGUUGGCUUGCUGAUGUUCAUCAACAUGUGACACCGACCACCAAUAACGGAUGUUGGUUCCGUAUUGGGGUAUUGAUUAAGAGGAGCGGUUGGGGGCAUUGGUAUUUGGCAGCGAGAGGUGAAAUUCUUGGACCUGUCAAGGACUAACAAAUGCGAAGGCAUCUGUCCAGACCGUAUCCAUUAAUCAAGAACGAUAGUGAGAGGUUCGAAGACGAUCAGAUACCGUCCUAGUUCUCACUGUAAACUAUGCCGACCCGGGAUCAGUUUGGAGCUUAUUUCCAUGCUCGGAGUUGGUCCCCCUGGGAAACCUAAAGUUUUUCGGUUGCGGGGGGAGUAUGGUCGCAAGGCUGAAACUUAAAGGAAUUGACGGAAGGGCACCACCAGGGGUGGAGCCUGCGGCUUAAUUUGACUCAACACGGGAAAACUUACCUGGUCCGAACAUCCGAAGGAUACACAGACUAAUAGAUCUUUGUUGAUGGGGUGAAAAGUGGUGCAUGGCCGUUCUUAGUUCGUGGAGUGAUCUGUCAGGCCCAUCCCGGUAACGAACGAGAUUACAGUCUCCAUUUGACGCGCUGAAGAAUGCACUCGUGCGGUUGUUUUCCGUAAAACGAUUGCGAUUCGUACGAGUGUCGGUAGUAUAUGUUGAGCUGCUUGGUGUCUGUUCAGAGUAAUCUGGUUGAAGGAAGGCAGCGAGGCGGUACUCCCUUUGGCUACACAACGUAUUUAUACGUUGCAUCAUGGAGAGACGGCGGUACAUAUUCAAAAACCGAGGAAGUGUAGCUAUAACAGGUCCGUGAUGCCCUUAGAUGUUCAGGGCUGCACGCGCGCUACAAUGAUAGCAACAACGAGUUUCUAAAUCGAGAGAUUUGGGUAAUCUUGCAAUUGCUAUCGUGAUGGGGAUCGACGCUUGUAAAUGUGUCGUGAAAGAGGAAUCCCUAGUACACGCGAUUCAUCAGAUCGCAUGGAUUGCGUCCCUGCCCUUUGUACACACCGCCCGUCGCUACUACCGAGUGAAUGGUGUCAUGAUACCUUGGGAGCGGACGUCCUCUGGGUAACACCGGUUGGACGCUGCGAUCAGCGUAAAAUGG
rnacentral:rRNA from 1 species